rnacentral:rRNA from 1 species
UACGGAGGAUGCAAGCGUUAUCCGGAUUUAUUGGGCGUAAAGCGUCCGUAGGUGGUUCAUCAAGUCUGCUGUCAAAGCGCGAGGCUUAACUUCGUACAGGCAGUGGAAACUGGUGGACUUGAGAGUGAUUGGGGCAGAGGGAAUUCCCAGUGUAGCGGUGAAAUGCGCAGAUAUCGGGAGGAACACCAAUGGCGAAGGCAGCUCGCUGGGACGUUACUGACGCUGAGACGCGAAAGCGUGGGGAGCAAACAGG